AGAAUGCCCCCACGGGUCUGAUCUUCAUCUCGGUAAAGUCCAGAGACGCCAGGUGGCCCGUCCACGGUUCCCAGUUUAUUCCCUGAGAGCCAGGAAGGGUUGCGAAGGGUGCUGGAGCCUAUCUCAGGUGCAUUUGGGCGGAAGGUUGGUUACACCCCGGACAAGCCGCCACCUCAUCGCAGGGCCAACAUGGAUAGAGGGACAACAUUCACACUCACAUUCACAGAUUUUUGGGGUAUUUUUUUACUACAGAAAAAGCUAUCUACCAACUCAUUUAACUUUAUUAAUUCACAUUUUUAGCUUUUUCUUUCCCUGUUAGAGAAUCGUUAAACACGGGAAUGAACAAGAUAUUUCUAAUUUCUCACUGGCACUCAUCGAGGGCGGACGCUCCCCUUUCCUCUCCCUUAUCUCUCCUGCUUGCUUCCUUGUUUUGUCUUGUCUUAACUUUCUUUUUGCCUCUUUUUGUGCUGCUCUCCAAAUCUAAACAUUGGAACUAUUUAACAAGAUCUUGGGUUUGUGGGAACCUGCUGUCGUGACGAAGCGGUUGUCGCUGGACACAUGAAGGACUCUUGGGAAAAGAAUGAGGGCCGCGUGCCUGGCGACCCUUUUCUGUCGGGGACGUGAAGAUAUCCACCUAUUCGGAAUAAUGACAACAGGACAUCUGCUGAUUGGAAUAAGCGUUGUUUUGGUUUGUCGACAAAUUGGAAGUUGAUGGCAGUCUUCAAAGUACCCCAAAGCUGCCACAAAUGAUUGGAGGAUGCGGGAAGAACUGUGGAUUACAUCGGACUGUCUACCCCGCAGUUUUGAGGACCAGUCAUAGACAAUUUAGAGUGAAAAGCAAAUUUUAUUCUCACCCGUAUAAAAAUCAUUCUAACUUGGAUUGUUUCCCUGGCUUCCAGACUCUCCUUAAGAACAGCGCAGCGAAGACACAACAAACUCCCUUCUUGUCUCUCAUGGACACACACCUGUUGUUGUUGACUUUGGACUAGCGACUGCAAUACAUCAAGGCCGCAGAACAGAGACACUCUACGGGCUUACACAACACACACACACAUCCACAAAAAUAUACGCCACAUAUACACACCCCAUGCCCCCCCCACCCCCCAACCCAACGCCCCCUACGCAAAUCCCAUAGGGCUGAUGAAUGGAUGGUCAGCGCCUGAGAGCUGCGGCCUACCACCAUGACCUUGAACUACCUUCCCUCUGUUGCCAGAUAUCUCGAGAUGUAUGUUGUAAUAUGUAUAUGUGCUUUGCUAUGGAGGUUUUUUCCCACUCCAGAGUGGGCCCCCUUAGGAGUCCAGUCUGGAUUGUAUUUUUUUACUCAUCCUUCCCCAGCGUUUACCUUUUUCCCAUCUUUUACGGGGCGCCUUAUGGCGACCCAUCAGCGUUCUUGUUCUGUAACCCUGUACACUGUUUGUCUAAUCUUGAACAGGUUUGUGCUGAAAACAAAGUUUUGUUGUACUUGUGCAAUGACAAUAAAGACCUAUCCUAUCCUAAUUGCAGAAACA